rnacentral:piRNA from 1 species
AGGUGAGGAAGACGGAGAGGUCCUAUGUGG